GGCCUGUGCAGGGGGAAGCAAACAGAACUCGGUUACGGGGUUUGUCUAAGUCACGUGCCCCCAGCCGCACUUCCUCCGCGCGCCCCGCCCCGCAGGCGACCUGCGGGGGUCCGAGAUCCCGAAGCCGAGCACCCGGAGCUGCGCCACCCUCCCAGUGUCCCGCGGCACUCUCGAGGGUGAAGGCGGACGGGUGGCCUCCAGGGCGCCACCGUCUGGUCUCCAGACAGCUUGGCACGCCCCCGCCUCAUUCCUGGUCUGGCCUCCCGGGCGGGUGCGGUGGUCUGCGCUCUCGGGGCGCCCCAGGAGAGGUUCCCGGGCCUCUGAAUGAAUCCGGCUCGAGAGGGAAGCUGGCCUUGCCCUGUCACCUUGUCUGACUGUAGAGGGAUGCCCAAAGGUGACCCAGUUGGCCCAGAGGGGCCUCCUCUUGGAUGAGCACCUGGGAGGAGGGCGCCCGGGAGCGAGCGCAUCCCUGCUCUAGUUCCUCCCUCCAGAGAAAAACUUGCUGUGCGCAACCGGGAACUCCAAACAGUUGUGCUUCUCCCCAGCUUUAAAAGCAGCGCACUGCGGAGCGAAAAGGCUUAUUGUGGGCAGCGAGAAUGCGGCGAGCACUUCUGUGCUGGGUCUACACGCAUUAACUCCACGAAUGCGCGGGAUUCGCUGGUGCAGCGGAGCAUUUCCAGGUUUCUCCAGGGCUCCUUCCCAUCCCACGCGCCGGGCGCUCCCGGGUUUGCCGGCGCGCCGGGGAGCGAAAGUUGAGCGGUGUUUGUUGUUGGAGGCUGGGCUCCCGGAACCGCUGGGGAAGUUUGAGCGCCUACGCGAGGCGGCGCGGCAGCCUCCGAGGCAGAGACCUGGGCCCUGGCUCCUCCCCAGGACGCCCCGAGGACAAACUCGGGGUGCGACUUGAAAACAAAAGAAGAUAAAACCGCCUAAAGUUCUUCCAGUAAAAAGGCACCCACUCCUUCCUGGCCCCCCCUCCCCGGCACGGUUUGCACUUGGGUUUGCAAACAUCCUGCUCCCUCUAUUGUACAGAUCGGAGAAGCACCCCCAAGUUAUUCAUUGGUGGUGGUGGUGGGGUGUCCUGAUGGCUGUCUUCGGUCUUCCACUCUACAUUCUCUUUUCCACGACCAACUGUGUGCGCGGAAACGCUUUGCACUAAUCACGCAAGGAAAAGACUGCAAAUUACAGAAAUGUACGCGGAGAGUUGCGGCUCGCAAUUUCUCCCCAGGAGCUGAGGGGAGCACCCCAGGUUGACACCCCGGAAUGGGCUCUGUCUUGGCGGACGCAGAAUCACCCUAAUCGCUCACCUGUUCGGGCUUCCCAGGAUCCCACGACUCCAAGUCGCCCUCACCUCCAAGAGAACGGAGGGAGUGCUCUUGGGACAACUUGGAAGCCCGGCGCAGGGUCCCUCCCGCGCAGUCUUGGGGAGGUCGGGCUUCUUUCUGGAAGGUGUGUCAGCCGAAAUCUCUGCAGUCCAGCUAAGCCGAUUGCUGCUGCUGCUGCUGCUGCUGCUGGUCUUCCCCGGCGCCUCCGACUUCGGCCCGCCGCAGUGGUGGCGGCAGUUCUGGGCCCGCGGCGCGUUCGGCUCCAGCCGGAGGGCGCCUGGCGAGCAGGUGCCAGACUCACUGCCCCAGGUGAAUGCCCACGCAGGCUCUCCGGGUUAGUACGCCUGUCAUUCUCCCGCGCGUCCCUCUUCCCUGCUAUCGCUGCCGGGCAGCCGCGGGGAGAUCGGCUGCUCGCUCUGGUGCAUUGAUCCUGCUUACACUCUGUCCUCUGCACGGGAAAAGACCUCUUUCUGUCCACCUGCUGGUUAUUCGCCAAGUGAUUCGAGAAACCAGAACUCCGGGGUCAGAGGGGAAAAAGAAAAAAAAAAAAAAAGACCCAACAACAAACAACCGAGGAGGCGGCCACAGCUGCCACAGGUGCAGGUAGGAACUUGGCGUUCCCGCCCUCCAGGAGACGAGAUUGGAUCGGGUCGCGUACGUGACGCCGGCCUGGGGUGUCUGAUUGGAGAAACGCCGCGCGGCGCCGCUCGCCGGCCGGGCUCCUUCUCAAAGAAGAAACGCUAGAAGAGAUCGUAGACCGAGAGAUCGCGGGUGUACGUAGGGAAGAAAUGAAUGAUCUGGAGGACAUGACAUUGUGACACAAGCAAGACUCCCCGGCACAUCCUGACUCAGGAAACAAAGGCUACGUCACCGCAGUCCUUUAUGACAAGGAGAACAUCUCACUGCCUCUACCCUUACUACCUGCAUCUGCUCAAAUGUUCUCCAUGGAUCCACAACCAACAAAACAGACAUCUGUAGGAGGCACAGCAAAGACCCACGACAGGGCCUUUGUUCACUCUCACCCCUGCUGUUCUCACAUGGAGGCGGCGAGUGUCUAUGAGACACAGAAGCCGACUUGACAGUCCACUGUGGUCCAGGAAAUUCCGUCACUUGCUUGAAAAACAAAUCAAGGAUUGUUGACAUUGCCUUCAGCCAGUGGAAGUAAAUGACUUAGUGACUCUGGUAAGAAAAUCAGUCCUUCUUAAUAAAUGUGGACAUGUGAUUAGAGGGUACUGGUUGAAAGGGGCAGCCGAUUCCUAGCUGGCCCACAGUUCAUACACAUUUCAGGCUAGGCUUGUAUGGAAGUCUUUUCUUUCCUGUAGUUGCUUCCUGCUGGUCUGUAUGCUCCCAAGCAGGGACACUGAUGGCAGAUCUCCGGUCUGCUGGCAGGGCUCAUGUCAGCGGAGGAAGGUCACUGCAGGAUGGGGCUGCCAUGAGCGUAGGAAUAGCCAGACCGCUAUCACGGGACAGGGGAAUGGCUGGAAUGUGGCCAGACAGGAAAGCAGUUGGACAUUAUUUCUAGUUCCCACAGGAUGAGGUCUGGAGCAGUAAUUAUUGUUGGAAUUGAAAAGCAUCAUUUCAACAUCCAGAUGAGAACAGCAAAGCCUUCAAGAAUAAAAGUCCAGUUCCAGAGCUGGCUUCGUACCUUCCUAGUGGGAUAAAAUUACAGUCUCCUAGAUUCUUGUUUUCAGGAAUUGAGGUUUUUGGAUGUUUGUAGUAGAACUAAAAGACAAUAGGAUUAAAACCUGUUUAGGUUCUGCACAGAAGGCCAUCCUUUUGUUUCUAUUCUCUUGGAGCUAAUUAAAUUGGCCACUUAGUAUUUUUUUUAGGAAGCCAAUGAGCUUGCAUUAUUUUCAUGUUGCAAAGCUAAGGAGACAGGAAAGAGGACUACUCUCCACUGUCAGCUUGCUCCCGUCUCCCCAUUAAGUCAGGCACCAUGCCUGGCCAAACAAGACAGUUAGCAAACCCUCCAUCAGAAAAAUACUAAAUUAUUGGCAUUAAAUAUUCAACUGGGACAUAUCAGCAUUUUUCCUAAUAAUUAUACUUUGCCUUCCAAACUAUAACAAUUAGAACUAAUUUCUCUCUAAAGAAAUUAUGGCUAGCUAAAAGCCAGGCUGGCAUUCAUAGUCUAUUACUUAUCCAAAAAUUGCUCAAACUCUUAAAUUCAAUAGAGUAAUCAAAAUGAAAACCUUCUGAGCUCAAUGUUAUUAUAUCUCUGAUCGCUGUGAAUAUGAGCAACAAUAUAUGUUUUAUAAGAUUAAAACAAAACAAAACAAAACUGAGAGUUUAUACAGUAUUCUCAACUUGCUUCCUUUCACUUUUGAAUGGGUCUGUAAAUUAAUCAGUGCAGACAAUUUUUGGUUCAUUUCAUCUAAGAAUGGGCUACUGCUGUGUGUCUUUCUGAAACACAGAGGAAGGCCCACAGAAAGGCCCUGAUCCCUCCAACAUCUCAAAGACCAACUCACUGACCUCAUUAUAUAUGUACAGUGAAGGAAAGAGAUCCACAGCUGGGUCAAUGAGUCUGGAACCAGAGGCUCCAGUGUCCUUCAAAUCUCCAAACAUCUCCACCCAUCUCGUGUGCUGUCACACAGCCCGGAGUGGAGCUCUCUCUGGUUGGUACCCUCUGAGAUGCCUCACCGUGAUCCCUGCUUCCUGUAAGUCCUACUCCUGUGUGAUCCCUUCCCCUAAGGGAUGGGACGGACCUAGGGACUUAUUUCUAACAGACAGAAGAUAGUGAAAGCAACUGGAUGUCGCUCCUGAGGUUAGGGUGCAGAAAGAGUGUAGCUUUUGUCUUAGGUGCUCUUGCCUGCUUGCUCUGAAGGAUGCCAGCUGCCAUUUUGUGAGCCGCCCAGGGGGGGAGAUCCACAUGGCAGGGAACUGCGGGUGGCCUCCAGCAAACAGUCGGCAAGAGAAUGAGGCCUCCGGUCAUGCAGCCUCCAAGGAACUGAAUCCAGCCGACCACCUUGUGUGUGAGCUUGGAAGCUCAUGCUCCCCUAGUUGAACCUUUAGAAGAGAUGACAGCCUGGCCAUCACCACCACCACAGCCUCAGUGGAGGCCUUGACCCAGAGGCAGCCAGAUAAGCCACACCUGGGUUCCUGAUCACAGAGACUGUGAGAUAAUCUGCAUUUUUAAAGCCUCCAAUCUGGGGGGGUGGCAAUUUGUUACUUGGUGAUAGGUCACAAAUCCAUCCAGAAAACCAAAGGAUCAGGACAGGAAUGUGCCUACCCAGACGCAAGGUAGGUUCAGGAGUCUGGAACUAGAACAAGCAGAAGGAGGAAGAACAGAACACGGAGAACAGGGCUUGUGUAGGAAGCAUAUGCUGACCUGGACGGAGUGUGGACCAAUGGUGAAGGCUGAGCGUGGGCUCUUGACCAGACUGCCUGGAUAUCAAGCCUGGCUCCAGCUUACCUCUUCAUAGCAGGUAUUUUACCUCCUUUAAACAUCAGCAAUCUCCUCUGUAACCCAAGGCCCUUAAACAUACCCACCUCACAGAGAUAAGCCCCUAAAGUGGGGGUGCCCCUCCAGUCACGGAGUCAGGGUUCUAGCAGUUACAAAUGGGGCUGGCCUAGCAAAGGCAGCAGAGUUCAUUUUACAGAAGAGCCUGUCCCCUCAGCGGGUGAGGGAGGAAGGUUGGGAGCUCCUCCUAAGGCAUUCACUGUCCAAGGCAGACAGGGUUUACAGAGGAUGUGUCAAGGAGCUGUUGGCUUACUUCUUGAGAUGGAUCAUCAGAUAUCGGAGGGUUUCAUAGUGGGCCGGCGGCAGCAGCAUCAGCACGUCAUGGACGGCUUCCAACCUCUCAUCCGCAUUGGAGAUUUCUGGGAAGAGCCCACAGAAGCAGUUAGUGCAGUGCUAGAACAUCAAAGUUUUCAGAGAAGUAAAAAGAAGUUUGGUUUGUUCUGGUGACAGGUGGAAGGGAAGUCUAGUGAGUUCAUGCAAUUUCAGGUAACAUUUCACUUAAAUUAAUCAAAGCAUUUGUAUCUUGUCUGAUUCCAGUAAGGGUUGGAGGUUGGGAACUACACACGUGUUGAACACCCAGUGGGUGGGUGAAAGGAAGCUGGGCCUGGUCCUUGCCCCCCAGGAAUCUAUAGUCCUGGAGAUGUUUGCAGGUGGCACAGAUGGCUUUGCUUAUCUUCUGAAUGCUGGACUUGCUUGAAAUCUCAAUAUCAUGAGCUUUAAUUUAAACUGGACCAUACUUUGUAGGGUUCUCCUACAGCUGUCUGACAAGCCUUUUCCUGCAAGGCUCCCAUGACUGAAUGCACUUUAUGACACAAGGGGGCUGGCUCACCGGUGCAGCUUGCAUCGAUGGCGCCAUUCAUCAAAGUGUUGGCAUGGUUAACUGUGCUGUACAGUCUGGGUUAGGAAGCAAAUACUAGGCCUGUUCACAAACAGAGGAAACAUGCAUGCUUCUGCUUUUUAGGGCUCUGAUUGGUAUUAGCAGUCAUUCAAGGAACACUCCCCUGCCAUUUCUGCUGGGGCAAAGGGUGCUGGGCUGCCAGAACCUUCUUCACCCAGGACCGCCAGGACCCAGGAGAGAAGGCUCUUACCAGGAAGAGGGGCCAUGGCUCAUCAGGAAAGUACAUCUUGCACUAAUCCCAGCCUGCCCACAUUUGUCCCCAUUGGGCAUCUUAUUAUUAUACUUACCUUUGAGGAAUUUCUUAUGAAAAAGAUCUUUAAAGGGUGCUUGUUUGCUAUGUCAUGCAUUCCAGCAUCUACUCUGCCCUUCCUUCCUAUGUUCCUGGGAAAAGUGCAGCACCGCUUCCCACUCCCUGCCCCCUAUCUCCCACCCUAAUAUGGUCCUCUCUCCUGACACCAGUCAACCCAAGUACCAAACACUAAUGAACAACCAUCGGCUGAAGGAAGACCAAUGAUGAUGAUGUUUGGUUCCUGGCCCUGAGUGCUCAGCUCUCAGACGCUAGCUUUCCUACUCAUAAGCCGCCUCAUCAGGUAGAUGAGUAGAUGGAGAACAUUAUGGAGCAGUCCUGGUAUAGCACGUGCCAUGGUAUUAUCAGUUGUGAACAUCAGUGAGCAAAGCUUGGGGUCUAACUUUAAUUGAUUAGCAAUGAGAGUGUGCUUAAUGGAUGAAAGUAGCUGAUCUAUAUAGUCCUCAUUGGAGAAAAUCUGCUUGUUUACACCAGACUCAUUUUUGUUUUUGAUAUAUAACAGAGUAGCCCCGGCUGGGCCGGUUCCAGCAGAGAAGAGACGAAAUGGAGAGAGAACUGCCUGGCGCCAAGCUUCAGCCGCGUGGGGGACUUUCAUCUGGGAAACUCCAAUCUUCUCUCAUGUAUGGAUAAUGAUCUAUUCUAAUCAUGUUUGCAAUCAUUCUGAAGACAUUUUUUGACUUUUGUUUUACCAUUAGUAAAAAUCAGUCCAAUUUAACUGUCGCAGACUAUACAUUUUUUGGAUAAGAAAGUUUCAAUCAUAUCGAGAUGAUUAGCAGUUUCUUUUACAUGGAGAAUUGAAGGAAAGCACAAAUGUCUGAGCAGAUUUGGUGCUGAGGAUAAAAACCUGGCAUCCAGAAAGCAGUGAGCAUGGCAGAUGGGUCACCCCAUCCCAUUAUUUACAUACUUAAUAAAUAUCUAUUGAGAUUCUACCCUGUGGCAGGCACUGUUAAGCACUGGUAAGUCAAAGAUGAAAAGACAUUCUCCCUUGAAAGAGCCCUAGUCAUUCUGGGAGUCAGGCAGGCAACUCCAUAGUUCUAAGGAAAUGGGAAGCUUGCUAGGCUGGAAACAUGAAAACAUGGUAGGGGGAGUGGACACAGGAAAGGACAAUGGGCCUCUUAGGUCAGCUUGAGGAUGAAUGACAGAGGAAAGACUUCAGUGGACACUGACUAAUAGGUAAGUGUUUUCCAGGUAGAUAUGAAUGAAUUUUAGAAGAAUGUGAGCCAAGGUACUUGUUCAUGAAAACAGGGAAGGUGUAUUUGAGUAUAGCUGAGGCACAAAGCAGCUGUGCCAAGGUCAGGGCCAAGGAACAGACCAUGAGCCUGAAAAGACAGGGUGACCAGAUCAUCCCAGACCUUGUCUAGUGUUCUCCAGAGUGAAGGUUCUAUCUAGUAGGCUAGGGGUUCCAACACUUGACGGGAUUUACUACCAUUAUUUGGACCAUUCAAUAGAAAUACUAGAAAGAAACACUAACUUGGAAAGGUAUGUAAAUCCCCAUGUUCACUGCAGCAUUAGUCACAAAAGCCAAGACAUGGAAACAACGUAACUGUUCACCGAUAGAUGAACAUAGAGGAGAUGCAGUAUAUAAAUACAUAUAAUGGAAUAUUAUUCAGCCAUAAAAAGGAGUGAAAUCUUGCCAUUUGUGGCAACAUGGA